rnacentral:rRNA from 1 species
AUUGAACGCUGGCGGCAUGCCUUACACAUGCAAGUCGAACGGUAACAGGUCUUCGGAUGCUGACGAGUGGCGAACGGGUGAGUAAUACAUCGGAACGUGCCCGAGAGUGGGGGAUAACGAGGCGAAAGCUUUGCUAAUACCGCAUACGAUCUCAGGAUGAAAGCAGGGGACCGCAAGGCCUUGCGCUCACGGAGCGGCCGAUGGCAGAUUAGGUAGUUGGUGGGAUAAAAGCUUACCAAGCCGACGAGCUGUAGCUGGUCUGAGAGGACGACCAGCCACACUGGGACUGAGACACGGCCCAGGAUCCUACGGGAGGCAGCAGUGGGGAAUUUUGGACAAUGGGCGCAAGCCUGAUCCAGCCAUGCCGCGUGCAGGAUGAAGGCCUUCGGGUUGUAAACUGCUUUUGUACGGAACGAAAAGACUCUGGUUAAUACCUGGGGUCCAUGACGGUACCGUAAGAAUAAGCACCGGCUAACUACGUGCCAGCAGCCGCCGUAACAC